GGAAGGGAGUAAAGUUAAUACCUUUGCUCAUUGACGUUACCCGCAGAAGAAGCACCGGCUAACUCCGUGCCAGCAGCCGCGGUAAUACGGAGGGUGCAAGCGUUAAUCGGAAUUACUGGGCGUAAAGCGCACGCAGGCGGUUUGUUAAGUCAGAUGUGAAAUCCCCGGGCUCAACCUGGGAACUGCAUCUGAUACUGGCAAGCUUGAGUCUCGUAGAGGGGGGUAGAAUUCCAGGUGUAGCGGUGAAAUGCGUAGAGAUCUGGAGGAAUACCGGUGGCGAAGGCGGCCCCCUGGACAAAGACUGA
rnacentral:rRNA from 1 species